rnacentral:lncRNA from 1 species
UUUACAAGCGGCUUCUCAAACACGCAUUAUUCAAAAACCUUAAUUAUCAUCUUCUUCAAUUCUCUGGCGAUUUCAUACUUCUUCAAUUGUCUCAAACACAAAAACUCUAAUCCAGUUUUCAUCUUCUUUCCUAUUUGAAACCCUAACGGAGAUGCCCCCGAUCCAGCCGAUCGAUCUUCAUCUGAUAAGUUUUUGACGGAUCGGGUUUUUCAAUUCCCCGCAAGUAGAGAAAAAGAUCAAGGGCACCAAAAGUGACUAAAAAUCCCAUAAUCUCAUUGCCAUUUGCUAAUUUGGGGGAUAAAUUAGCACACAUACGAGCUUCAACAUCAUGAUCAUCAAUCCAGGAGGAGAAGAGGGUUUGCUUCUGGUUGGAGUCAUUUGUGAAUUGAAAAAACGAGAGUGAUCUGAUCUGAUCUGAUAUGGAAGGAAUCAGAGGACAGACACCGUGUUAGUGGUCUCCUUUUUUGUUACCUAAUGUUGGUAAUCUACUCACCACACUCCAUCCUACAAAACGCUUCCAGGAAAAACCUGCAACAAUUGGAAAUCUUGAAAAAAAAGUCUAAAAGAAACAAGUGAAGCAGGUAACAUAAUACGGGACCAACUGAAAGAGGUGAGUGUUGCAGAUACGAGGGACCAACUGAAAGAGGUGCGUGCUACAACAGAUAUGGAGUUGUUAAAGAAUCCAAAUUCGUAGGUGGAUGAAGCUAAAAAAAGAUAUGGACAUAUGGAGGAAGAGAGACCUCUUAGAGGUGUGGUAUGAAGAGAAACCACGACCAUCAGAUGUACGUUAUGACCUGUGAUAUGAAGAAAUGCAAACUCAUGUAUUAACUACUCUUUGACUUUAGAUGUGGGAUUUUGACUUGUUUAUUAAAAAAACAUGUUGAAUGAAGUUAUGUUUCAUCUCUUAACUGGUCAAAUAGAAAAUACCUAAAAAGGAGACAGGUUGAAU